rnacentral:rRNA from 1 species
CCUACGGGUGGCAGCAGUGGGGAAUAUUGCGCAAUGGAGGCAACCCUGACGCAGCAACGCCGCGUGAUUGAAGAAGGCCUUCGGAUUGUAACGAUCUUUAAUCGGGGGCGAAUUUUGACGGUACCCGAAGAAUAAGCUCCGGCUAACUACGUGCCAGCAGCCGCGGUAAUACGUAGGGAGCAAGCGUUAUCCGGAUUUACUGGGUGUAAAGGGCGUGUAGGCGGGCAUGCAAGCCAGAAGUGAACUCUUGGGGCUUAACCCCCAAACUGCUUUUGGUACUGCGUGUCUAGAGUGAUGGAGAGGCAGGCGGAAUGUCCAGUGUAGCGGUGAAAUGCGUAGAGAUU